rnacentral:rRNA from 1 species
AACGAACGUUAGCGGCGCGCCUAAGACAUGCAAGUCGAGCGAGAAAGGGCUUCGGCCCCGGUAAAGCGGCGCACGGGUGAGUAACACGUAGGUAAUCAACCCUCGAGUGAUGGACAACUCUCCGAAAGGAGAGCUAAUACAGCAUGAUGGCGUGACUUUACGAAGUUGCGUCUAAAGCGGGCCUCUUCAUGAAAGCUCGCGCUCGAGGCUGAGCCUGCGGCCCANCAGCUAGUUGGUUGGGGUAACGGCCCACCAAGGCUAAGACGGGUAGCUGGUCUGAGAGGAUGAACAGCCACACUGGAACUGAGACACGGUCCAGACUCCUACGGGAGGCAGCAGUCGGGAAUCUUCCGCAAUGGGCGAAAGCCUGACGGAGCGACGCCGCGUGAGCGAUGAAGGCCUU